GUCUUGACAGGGGACUCCUUGGGUCCCCUCUUCUCAAACCCACUCCUCCCCGCGGGUCGCGGCGUGCAGUCUUGAGAUCACGAGGGCCCGGGAUAGCUACGGUGACCCCAAGGCGCCCGAGCCCACGGAGGUUCAUUGCAUCAGCACUGAGUUCACACCUCAGAAGAAAGGUGGAGAGAAAGGUGUCCCUUUCUACCUCCAGAUCAAUAUCUUCAAGCCCAGUGACAAGGCAUCUGUAGAGCACCUGCAUUUGGCUGGCUGCCUCAUCAAGGUGUUCAAGGUUUGGGCAGCCCUGGGCCCCCUCCACCCCUGGCUCUGCCUUGCUGUGGACUUUCAGCCUUCCAAGCCUCUGUUUUGGGACUCUCCUCCUUUUCUAUACAGAGAGGGAUGGGGUUUGUGGUGAGCAGGGAAAGCUUCUGUAUCACCCUUCUGGAACCCAAAGGAGCUGACUAGAAACUGAAAACUGACCAGGAGAAGAUUGUGAAACAACCCCUGCCUGAGAGACAACUCUCGGAGCCCUCAAGAACAUGGUCUUCUUGGAGUAUUUGCCCCAGCCAGAAUUUACUGCAGCCACCUCAGUCCUCUCACUCUGACCUCUGCCAAGGCCUGCAAGCUCCUGUAGGAUGUGCAUGUAUCAGCCCCUUCAGGUACUGUUUUUCACCAUCAUUCACCUGGGACACCUUGGGAUUCAGCUCAGUUGAGGUGAGUCCUUUCUAUCACUCAACCAUGGUCCCAAAGCCCUCUUGAAGCCUCCUGUCUCUCCAGAACAGGGUAACUCUGCCCCCUGGGGGCCUCACUUGGUAUGGCCACAGAUUAUAAUUGACCAGCUAGGACCUGGCAGGAGCCUCUCAGGGGAAGGACUGAUUCCUCUCCACCUUGUUUUCAGCCCCCAGGUCUCUGGGUAUCACCUGGAGCCCUGUUUAUGUCUCAGGACCUGAACCCUGGCACCUCCAUUUCAGACACACAGCUGGUUGCAUGGGCACUGGUGAGGUUGCAUCUGGAAGGGACUGAGUAUGGGACACUGAGGCAGAAGGCCUUUGUCUUGACUUGCUGUGUCCUUCAACUAACCUUUAU